rnacentral:misc_RNA from 1 species
UUUCCGUAGGUGAACCUGCGGAAGGAUCAUUCAUAAUAAGUGUUUUAUGGCACUUUUUAAAUCCAUAUCCACCUUGUGUGCAAUGUCAGUCGUUCUCUCUUUUGGAAGCGACCAAACAUCAACUUAUUCUUUAACUCUUUGUCUGAAAAAUAUUAUGAAUAAAAUAUUUCAAAAUACAACUUUCAACAACGGAUCUCUUGGCUCUC